GCGCUCGUAGCUCAGCUGGAUAGAGUACCUGGCUACGAACCAGGCGGUCAGAGGUUCGAAUCCUCUCGAGCGUGCCA
rnacentral:tRNA from 2 species